CGUUCCCUUUCCUCCGCCUCCCCUACUCCUCUCGAGCCCUCCCACCUCGGCCGCCGCCGCUCGUCAGUCGUUGCCACUCCUUUGCACGGCUGCGACCUACCUGCAUCCCUGCACGCCGCCCUCACCACUCGCCUGCGAUCCUCUCUCCCGGCGCCGCUCCUCACCGCUGCCCUGCGACCCUCCGUCCUAGCGCGCCGCCCCUCGUCACCACCCCUGCAACCCUGCAUCCCGGCGCGCCGCCCCUCGUCACCGCUCCCCUGCGACCAACGGUGAAUCCAAGGUACGGCCAUGAACAAGCACAGGCAACCACAUCCCUCAUUCCACAUCCGUAGCCCCUCGCGGUACCAAUGCAUUAUCCACAUCUGUAGCCCCGUUCGUCCUCCUCCGGUGCUCCUCCUAAUUGUUUUCCACUAUUCACAUGUGCUCCAUGUAAAACGAUCCAGGAAGCCUCUUUUUUUUGCGAAUAGGAAUCCUCUCCCUGAUCCCUGCUCUGGAACCUUUUAAUAUCCACUGCACCAGGACAUCCUUCCAAUCUCGCAUUCUAUGCCCAACGAAAACUGAAAUCCAAUGCAGUGGAGAAGGCGGUACAUCAAAGAAAGUUUGUAUCUGAUUGGAUAGCCUCUAUUGUUGAUGAAGUUCUGGAGAAGAGGAACUAUUGCAGGCUGGUCGCAGGUAUGGAAGGAGCAAGAAGAGAUUUCAGACAUCUGAAGAUACACAUUACUUGGAUGGCUAAAUUAGUAGGUGCUACACAAGCAACUAGGUGAUUCAAUUCAGCGAAGGCGUGGUCGUACCUCUGCACAGCGAACUCAAGCACCACUUCUAAUAUUGUUGGAAAGUGGAUAAGUCGUUUUGGAGCAUUACACGAUUUGUUCAGUCUACUUCGCUAUGUUCCUUACAUGCAAAAGGUAUGGGUUUGUUUACUUGAUAUGUUCUUUCAAUUUUAUCCUCACCCAGUGAUCCACAUCUUAAAAGCACAAACUACUCUGUUCAGAUGGAAUAUCUUUGAUAGUGUUGUUGCAGACUUGAAGGUAUAUGCAUCAGGAGGUCAAGGUGGCAGUGGCACCGUAACAAUAUUUAUUUGAAACUACACGCGAGGAAAAGGUCAGUAACAAAAAAAGGAAGCUCACUGAGCACGUCAAUACAGAUUACCUGACGAAAGCCCAGGCGAUGAAUAGGAUAAUCAAGUUGAGAUCCCACCGAGGACGUAUAAUGGCUGAAUGAACUUCUGAUCCACGCUUUGGCAAUCCCGUGCCUCCAGGUGUGUAGGUUCAAAAGAUAAAUGGAUGAUUAUAUGGGCGCGUGGCAAAUAUACUGAUGAUGAUGAUGAUGAUGAUGAUGAUGAUGAUGCUGGAUGCUUUCAAUUUUAGUUCAGUUGUAGGAAUGAUGUUCCUCUGUUAAGUUUUAGUUAAGUUGUAAUGAUGUUGAGGGAUACUUUCGGUUUUUGUUUUGUUGUCAAGAAAAUAUAUAGAUUAUGCAUCACAUUUGGAUGAUGUUCCUCCUGUAAUAUC